rnacentral:rRNA from 1 species
AUUGAACGCUGGCGGCAGGCCUAACACAUGCAAGUCGAACGAGUGGCGGACGGGUGAGUAAUGUCUGGGAAACUGCCUGAUGGAGGGGGCUAACUACUGGAAACGGUAGCUAAUACCGCAUACCAUCAGAUGUGCCCAGAUGGGCUUAGCUGGUUGGUGGGGUAACGGCUCACCAAGGCGACGAUCCCUAGCUGGUCUGAGAGGCUGACCAGCAACACUGGAACUGAGACCCGGCCCAGACUCCUACGGGAGGCAGCAGUGGGGAAUAUUGCACAAUGGGCGAAAGCCUGAUGCAGCCAUGCCGCGUGUAUGAAGAAGGCGUUCGGGUUGUAAAGUACUGUCAGCGGGGAGGCGUUACCCGAAGAGGAAGCAACGGCUAACUCCGUGCCAGCCGCCGCGGUAAUUC